UACGUAGGGUGCAAGCGUUGUCCGGAAUUAUUGGGCGUAAAGCGCGCGCAGGCGGCUGGGUAAGUCCUGGGGUGAAAUGCCGGAGCUCAACUCCGAGCCCGCCCCGGAUACUGUCCGGCUGGAGACACGUAGAGGCAAGCGGAAUUUCGGGUGUAGCGGUGGAAUGCGUAGAUAUGCGGAGGAACACCGAUGGCGAAGGCAAUCCCCUGGGCCUGCACUGACGCUCAUGCACGAAAGCGUGGGGAGCAAACAGG
rnacentral:rRNA from 1 species